rnacentral:rRNA from 1 species
GUCUUUAAGAACUUAAUUUAAAGUCUAAUCUGCCCAAUGAAUAAUUUAUUUUAAAUGGCUGCAGAAUUUUACUGUACUAAGGUAGCAUAAUAAUUUGUUUUUUAAUUAAAAACUUGUAUAAAAGAUUAAAUGAAAUAUAAACUAUUUCAAUUAAAUUUAUUUUUAAAAUUAUUAUUUAAGUAAAAAAACUUAAAUAAUAUUUAAAGACGAUAAGACCCUAUAGAAUUUUAUUUAUUAUUUAUUUAUUUAAAAUAUAAUAAUAAAUUUUAUUGGGGCAAUAAAAAAAUUUAAAUAAUUUUUUUUAAAAAAAACAUUUUAAAUGAAUAUUUUAUCUUAAAUUUUAAAUUAAAAAAAUUAAUUACCUUAGGGAUAACAGCAUAAUUUUUUUUGAAAGAUCUUAUUAAUAAAAAAGAUUAU